AAGGUGGUCACGACCCUCAGUAAUGAGGCA
rnacentral:sRNA from 1 species